UGGUUGGUACUUAGUUUCCGAAGAUGUCGAAGUAGUUGAAACUGAAGAAAAUUUUGAUCUCUCAUUGAAAGUCUGAGAAUAUAUAUUAUCCACAGCGCACAGGCAGAAUGCUUGUUGAAUAUGACCAGAGUUUGGGGAAAGCGUAAACUUCAAGGUAUUCAUUUUUUUGUUGUUGCUGCCAUUAGGUGAUUUCAAUAACAUCCUAUAUAUAUAUUGUUUGUUUGUUUGCUUGCUUCCUGGAAACCUCCCUAGGCUGUGGGUACGGCCCUAAAAAGCAAAAAAAAAAAAAAAAGGAGUUUUGCCUAAGGUGGUCAGCAAAGGCUUCUGGAGGAAAUGAUAUCUGCCCAUAAACUUAAAGGACUGAGUACAGCUAGGUAAUAAAGGAUGAGGGGCUUGGGGAAAUGGGAAUUGUCUUCUGAACGGAGGGGAAUGGUUUAUGUACAGAGUCCUGGGGCCAGAUGGAGCAUGGUGACGUGGGGGUACUAUGUACACUGAGUUUUUCAGCCAGGUGCUGGUGAGGCAUGGGCAGAUGGAAGGGUUACACAUGGCGUUACCAUAUGGACUUUAUCUUGCUGGCAGUAAGGAUCCAUUGGCUGAUCAUUUUGUAAUUAUUAGGGGUCGGGGGGAAACCACAUCGAAUUUGAACUUCGAAACAUGCACCUGGCCUCCUUGUGGAGCAUGGCUUGAGGGAGCUGAGAUGAGAAAUGAUGAGAACAGUCAGAAGUGUUGGGGAGGGAGAUGCUCAUGACCUUACUGAGUGAGUGGUGGAGCAGAAGAACAGACUGACAGGUGAGGUUCAGGAACCGAUAACCUUGGUGUUUGGAUGGAGAAGCUGAAAGAGUCAAGGAACACACCUAGGGUGCUAUAGACACUCGUGUCUGCCUUUGUUCUAGCACAUGUCCCAUGGUGUUUUAAGUGUUCGUAUCUUCGAUUCCUGAGUUUGACUCUACAUUACUUGAGGAUUCACCCUUGUAUCCACUGCACCCAUUGUGGAAGGGCAACAUGAACAUGCGUGGGAGGUCAAGCUAGGGGAUUGAUGGAGCAAAGUUGUGUGCAUGUGGCCCACAGGAAGGGACUGCUGAGCAGAGCACUGAGUGUGUGGUGGCGCCUCUCGUCCUCAGCUCUUUGCUCCCGUCUUUUGUGGGCUUUGAAAGCAAGCUGGACAGAAUGACUAGGGGCACACUGGACCUCAGCUGAAGCCCGGGGAGCUUUUCAGGACUGAAGCAGAAGCUGCUUGGUGUGUGGCUUUGUGCUUUUGUGCAUUCACACCACUGUGUGUGGACUUGCAUUGAAAGUCUGCAGUGUGGAGACAGGGUAGGAGGCGGGACCCAGGAGAGAUAAUAGCACG
rnacentral:lncRNA from 1 species